UGGCUAAAAACAGACCGAGCAACAGGAAGUCACAUAGUGCAUAACGGUGUCUAUUUUAAAUGUAUUUUUUAAAUCCGCAACCCUAGUGAGGAUAAGCGGUACAGAAAAUGGAUGGAUGAAUGGAAAUUCAUAUUUAGCCUACAAUGGGCUGGCGACCAGUCCAGGGUGAACACCGCCUCUCUCCCAAAGUCAGCUGAGAUAGGCGCCAGCUCCCCCUGCGACCCUCGUGAGGGGCUUGUCAUGUCAUCACAGACACAUGGAGAGAACGCACCACCCUCUGAGGAAGGAGUUGGCUGUUGAGUUCUGAUGGUCGAAAAGAAGGAAUUUGUUUCGACAAAAUUCCCUUCAGAAAAAUUCCCCUCAUGCUGCAAUAUAUUUUCGGUUGUUCGUAAACUGAAUUGUGUGGUUUAACAUUUGAAACUGUCAUACAAGUAUAAAGAGAAUUAAUCAUGGUGUAAUAUGACUAAAAUAAAGUAAAACUACUCA